rnacentral:misc_RNA from 1 species
CAGAGUUGAAAAACUCCCAAAACCACUGUGAAUCAUACCUGUCCGCGUUGCUUCGGCGGGCAGCUCCGGGGAGGAGCUGCCGCCUCCCUUCCGGGGGGCGCCCGCCGGAAGCCCCUAUAAACUACUCUGCAAUUUGGCUGGCAACUCUGAGUAUUAGCAUGCAAAUGCGACUAAAACAAAAA